rnacentral:rRNA from 1 species
UACCAGACUCCUACGGGAGGCAGCAGUGAGGAAUAUUGGUCAAUGGGCUAAGGCCUGAACCAGCCAAGUCGCGUGAGGGAAGACGGUCCUAUGGAUUGUAAACCUCUUUUGUCGGGGAGCAACGAGGCCACGUGUGGCCGAAGUGAGAGUACCCGAAGAAAAAGCAUCGGCUAACUCCGUGCCAGCAGCCGCGGUAAUACGGAGGAUGCGAGCGUUAUCCGGAUUUAUUGGGUUUAAAGGGUGCGCAGGCGGUCUGGUAAGUCAGGGGUCAAAGCGGGGGCCCCAACCCCGCCGAGCCGUUGAAACUGGCUUGCUAGAGUGGGCGAGAAGUAUGCGGAAUGCGUGGUGUAGCGGUGAAAUGCAUAGAUAUCACGCAGAACUCCGAUUGCGAAGGCAGCAUACCGGCGCGCAACUGACGCUCAUGCACGAAAGCGUGGGUAUCGAACAGGAUUAGAUACCCGUGUA